rnacentral:tRNA from 1 species
CUGCCAGUGGCCUACUGGUUAGCGCUUCGGACUUGAAACCGGAGGGUUGCCGGUUGGAACCCCGACCAGUAGG